rnacentral:pre_miRNA from 1 species
UGAUCUGGUCGUCUUCUCCAAUGGAGAAGAACGGAACAGCCAGAUCUGGCCGUUCUUCUCCAUUGGAGAAGGCGGCCGUUCGG